CGCGCACGUAUAACACUCGAUAGAAAACUGUUUAAACAAUGAAAUAAAAUAAAAUAAAAUAUCAUCGCAAAUCCGAAGAUUUUUGUCAUUUUUGUGUGUUGCAUCAUUUUGUGUGUGUACCAAAAAAGGAGAUAGAUUCUUGUUCUGUUUCAGAUUUAUUCAUUCGAAAAUGGCGAAUCGUUUCAAGCCAUCCAUACCAGCGAAGAGAUAAACGAAGGAUGAGAUUACGACGAUCAAAUGUGCGCUGAAGACAAUCAUUCGCCCACAAUUCCAGCAAGCAUUGAUGAGCAAAAUAACGGACCUGAGCUUGCAAGCCACUUCAAUUUGCGUUUUGGGCUCAUUGCUGUUCUUGUUCGAGGUGCAAAAAGCGUACGAACAUAGGCAUUGAGAAUAAUGAUUUCGCAUUCUUUGGUGAAAGUGGAGAAAAAAAGAUCCAACUCUCCUUUAACCAAGUGCUAUGGCAUAACAGUCAGCCACCGAAACCGAAAAAAUCGAGGAACAAAGCCACGAGGACCACGAGCAGAGCUGCCACGUAUCGACCCUGAAUUCAAAGCAAUCGUCGAGGGUCUUGACGACUACCAUCGUAUCGAUUGGCCCAACAACAAAGAUUUCAGCAAUGGCCUCAAGCAUUUGGCCAAUCAAUACACAGACAACGUCGUCACCAAUUCAACAACGCAUCCUAACAAACACAUCACCUAGUACUUGAAACUAAAAUUGUUCGAAUUGAACACAGACGGAGAAGAGGAUGCAGAGAAAUUUUUGCCAAGUGACAUCGAAAGUGUUGUGAAAUUGAUAACCAAACAAAAGGACAUCAAAGUGCCAAUUCACGGUCCAGACAAACUCUAACGGUGUGUCGUGUUGUAUGACAUGGUGAACGACCUGAGUGUGUUUCCAGAAAUCGAUCUGCAUGACCCCACGACUGACGCACAACAUUGGUUUAAGGCCAUGCCCAUCCCCCGAUAGCAAUUGUCAAAAAUAUGACUUUUCUGCAAAACGUUGCCAGCGCCAUCUGAGAUCCAUGUGACAGCUGAUAUUUCAAUGUCAUUUCGAUACAAAAUGCGUAAACAAACCGACGAACGCACAGAAAAAUUAUUUUUAUGUUGCUUCUGUGGCAUAUUUAUUAAGAAAAAUAAAAAUAAUCUAGAUCGCCAUGAACGACUUCACGCGGAUAAAGUCAAAAAAUAUAAAUGUUGUGCAAAAAAUUGUGAGUCAAAAUUUACAAACAAAGAGAACUAUUACGUGCAUUGGCAGAAACAACAUAGAAAAAGUGUGAUACCGGACUGUUUAAAUUUUUUUUAUGAGAAACCAAAAUUGAAAAAACGAUUAUUUAAAAUGCGUGAGGCCAAAAUACAAAUUAAAAAUUGUGAAAAGCCAAUUAGCUAUGAAAUCUUACAAGCUGUUGGCUUAUUACAAAAUGCUUGUGUUAAAAUCAGUGAUGGUUUUUUCCUAUCUGAAUAGCGCUAGCUAUUCGCAGCACCUGUACAG